AAAUGAAGCCAAACUAUUGUUUCAUUCUCCAAAAUAUAAUAAAAAUAAUAACUUAAUCCCGCGCAAGGCGCGGGUCUUAUCCUAGUUUUAUAUAAUAGGGAAAAUAAACUAAACCCAAAUCAGAAUUGGUAUCCGACCGAAGAUGUAAAAAAUACCCGAAUCUAUCUAUCUAUCUAUACUAAUAAAAGAGACUUUUUGAGGCUCCAUGGAGCAUUCAUAUCAUCGAAAAAUAUUUUUUCCGAAAGAUCACAUGUGGCGUUAUUACUAAUUUAUAAAAAAUAAAAGGGGAAUUGUCACUAAUACCACUUUCCUAAUACCACUUUUCAACUUUACACUUUUCAAAUUUACCAUUAAAAUUUUAAUGACUAAAGUACCAUUAUACCCCUCAUUUCAUUAAUUUAACCUAGAUCUAUUCUUCUCCAAAUGUCUGUCACGAGAUGAAAAUGAGAUCAAAUUGAGACGAGCUCCAACGAGAUCUCCGGCAAACUCGGCGAUCUCCGGCAAACUCGGCGAGCUCCGGCAAAUUCGGCGAUCUCCGGCGAACUUGGCGAUCUCCGGCGAACUCGACGAUCUCCGACGAACUCGACCGGAUUGGGAGAGCGUGGCGGCGAGUGGACAUCCCGCCGUUCCUCCGCCGGCAUUAUGUAGUCGUAGUAAUCCUCCGAUGCUAAAUCGGUCACGUUCGUCACGAAUCGCAUGCCGAGAAGUUCUCCGGCAAAGCUGACAGACUCGACAAGCUCAGACGAACGAGACGAUCUCUCUCCCAACGCCUAAGAAACACUAACAAAGGUAAGAUGAUAGUAUAUGGUGAUUUUUGCCUCUUUCUGUAAUUUUAGCUUGAUUUAUCAAAAUCGAUAUGUUUCUAAGAAAGAAGACGAAGUUUUUCAAGUGAAGUUUUCAGAUCUCAAAUUUAUAAGAUCUUAUAAAUUGGGUCUUUUCAAAUCUUACUGUUGAUCUGUUAGCAAUCAAAAGACACAAAGCUUAACGUAAGAGUACAAUUAUUGAUUUGGUUGAUUUAUUGUCAUAGUUUUCAGAUUUAUAUAAUUAUUUAAUUCAUGAGAAGGUACUAACCUAAGAGUAUAAUUAUUCUAUGAUUACUUCUUCUCUUGGUUGAUUUGGUGAUGUUGCAGAGAAUUACAAAUGUGUGUUGUCAGCUUUUGGAUUUAAAGGAUGUUGUGGAGAAUAUGUGUGGUGAUAUGCAUAUCUAAGUAUCUCACUUCUUUAAGAUUUUGAAAAUUUACGAGGUUGGUGAGCUGUUUGAAGAGGCAAGAGAGACUCUGAAGAAGAAUGUGGUUUGUGCUAUCAAAGAAUUACGUAUUUAUAACGCUUUAUAAAAAUUGCAGAGUUGGCUUCUUAGUACAUUCUUCUCUCUCAUCUUAUUUAGACAUCUCUUAUACUAAAACAAUUGUAUCUCUCUUUUAGUAGUUGCAUAGUUGAAGAUAUUAGUUGGACAUGUAAGUGAGUUUGGUUUCAAUUGUUUCUUUUAUAGAAGAGUGAGAUAUGGAGAAGCCUUGAUGUUCUCAGACUAUGUUAAAGCAAUAUACCCCUUGUUGAAGGACGUGGCUCUUUCACCAGAUAUGUCUUUUUGUGUUGAUUGUCUUUUGGAGGGAUUUUAGAAAAAUUACCUUAUAAGCCAUUGUAAAUAAAUUUAUAAACGCUUAUAAAUCGCUUUGAGUUUCUUACACUCAUUCUGCCUAGCAUUCCUCACAAGACUUCUCAAGUUCAAACAUUUAUGUGUUUUGUAUAGACAUAUACAAUCAACUCUUGUUUAAAAACUUCUUAAUAAAAACUUAUAAAUCGUCGAGUUGUACUUUUAACAAUAGACUUAUAAAUAGCUUAUAUGUUCUUGUAAAUAGUUUAAUACACCCUUUUAAAUAGUUUUAUAAACCUGUAUAAAUAGUUAUAUACUUUUGUAAAGAGAUGACGAUACGUGGCAGAUUGUGAGGCACAUGAGGACAGCAAGCAAGACUCCACCGCUUCAGAAAUUUUACAUACUUUUAUAAAUUAUUUUAUAAUCCUUUAUUAUGGUGUAUAAACUUUAUAAUUAUUUUUAUAAACCCUUAUAAAAUAUUUACAUACUCUUGUAAACCCUUAUAUAUUAUUAUACACACCAUUAUAAAUUGUUUUAUAAGGCUUUCAUAAAGUUUUUAUAAACCCUUAUUAAUAGUAUACAUACCUCUUAUAAAUUAUUUAUAAACUUUCAUAACUUUCUUAUAAACAUUUAUAAAUGAUUUAUAGAUCUUAUAACUUGUUUUAUAUGUUUUUAUUAAUGGUUUAUAUACUCUUACAAAUAAUUUUACAUACCCUUAUAAGGCUUUGUAAAGAGAUGAUGAUACGUGACAGAUUCUAAGGCACAUGUGGACAGCAAGCACGGUUCCACCGCUUUAGAAAUUUUACAUAUCCUUAUAAAUUGUUUUAUUAUAAUCCUUUAUAA